rnacentral:rRNA from 1 species
AACGAACGCUGGCGGCGUGCCUAACACAUGCAAGUCGUGCGAGAAAGUUCCUUCGGGAGCGAGUAAAGCGGCGCACGGGUGAGUAACACGUAGGUAACCUGCCCCCCAGUCUGGAACAACUAGAGGAAACUCUAGCUAAUGCCGGAUGAGACCACGAUCCCUUCGGGGGUUGCGGGCCAAAAGAUGGCCUCUACUUGUAAGCUAUCGCUGAGGGAUGGGCCUGCGGGCCAUUAGCUUGUUGGUGAGGUAACGGCUCACCAAGGCUGUGAUGGCUAGCUGGCCUGAGAGGAUGACCAGCCACACUGGGACUGAGACACGGCCCAGACUCCUACGGGAGCAGCAGUGGGGAAUAUUGCGCAAUGGGCGAAAGCCUGACGCAGCGACGCCGCGUGGGUGAUGAAGG